rnacentral:rRNA from 1 species
CCUACGGGAGGCAGCAGUAAGGGAUAUUGGUCAAUGGGGGAAACCCUGAACCAGCAACGCCGCGUGAGGGAAGACGGUUUUCGGAUUGUAAACCUCUGUCCUCUGUGAAGAUGAUGACGGUAGCAGAGGAGGAAGCUCCGGCUAACUACGUGCCAGCAGCCGCGGUAAUACGUAGGGAGCGAGCGUUGUCCGGAUUUACUGGGUGUAAAGGGUGCGUAGGCGGCUUGGCAAGUCAGUAGUGAAAUCCAUGGGAUUAACCCAUGAACUGCUAUUGAAACUGUCGAGCUUGAGUGAAGUAGGGGUAGGCGGACUUCCCGGUGAGGCGGUGAAAUGCGUAGGAGUCGGGGGGAAAACCGGGGGCAAGGGCGGCCUACUGGCUUUAACUGACGCUGAGGCACGAAAGCGUGGGUAGCAAACAGGAUUAGAUACCCGUGUAGUC